GAUGAACGCUGGCGGCGUGCCUAAUACAUGCAAGUCGAGCGAACAGACGAGGAGCUUGCUCCUCUGACGUUAGCGGCGGACGGGUGAGUAACACGUGGAUAACCUACCUAUAAGACUGGGAUAACUUCGGGAAACCGGAGCUAAUACCGGAUAAUAUAUUGAACCGCAUGGUUCAAUAGUGAAAGACGGUUUUGCUGUCACUUAUAGAUGGAUCCGCGCCGCAUUAGCUAGUUGGUAAGGUAACGGCUUACCAAGGCGACGAUGCGUAGCCGACCUGAGAGGGUGAUCGGCACACCAUGAAAGAGACCCCGGGCCAACUCCCUACGGGAGGCAGGAUGAGGGAACCUUCCGCAAUGGGCGAAAGCCUUACGGAGCAACCCCGCGGGGUUGAUGAAGGUUUUCGGAUCGUAAAACCCUUUUAUUAGGGAAAAACAAAUGUUUAAGUAACUAGGCCCUUCUUGACGGUACCUAAUCAGAAAGCCCCGGCUAACUACGU
rnacentral:rRNA from 1 species